ACAGAGCCAUUCACGGUGUCCCCACCCCACUCCGUGCUCCACACUCCUCUUUGCAGGUGCUAGAUUACAGGUUGUGCUGCCCAGGGCACUGCGGAGGAGUAGAGCCUGUGCAUACCAACCACCCUGCAAGUGGCAACUGUCUCUCAGAAAAGAAACAAGCUGAGCCUCCCAGAGUAUUUGGAACUCCAGGAAUGAAUCAGACAGGGGAACAGAAGAAGCUGCAUUUUAAUCCACACUGUAAGAGGAAAACAUUUUCAAMGGAGGAGGAAACAUUUCUAAGUAAACAUGAGACUGGGGAGGAAGGAAGGAAGAAAGGAAAUGAAUUCCUCCCAUCUAAUUCCUCAGCCGAGAGGACUGAUAUCUUAGGGGUCACUUGAAGGGUAAAGUGUCUUUCAGCUCCAUUUUUUCUGAUUACAAAGAGACUCUCCCAUGGCUGCUUGCUGGACCGAAUACAUCAAAUAGUUUAACGA